GACGACAUUAUUUGUAAGUCGCUCUGGAUAAGAGCGUCUGCUAAAUGACUAAAA
rfam:Salmo salar isolate Sally breed double haploid chromosome ssa10, whole genome shotgun sequence.